AAGAAGAUUCUAAAACGGGUAAAUCGUUGCAUGUUGCGUAGCUAAGGUUGUUUGGGAAAGUGUAUGUGUUGCAUGGUUUUGAGUUUGUAGGAUUUUGAUUCUUUUGAAUACUAUGAUGAAUGGUUCCAAGAUUUGAGAAAAUACAUGGUUGUAUACCUUUGACUUGAAUGAAGAAUGUGAGAAACAAGAGAAGUUUUCGAGUGAAAGCCAUGAUUUAAGAAAUAUUUGAUUAGCUAGGUUUGGAAUAAUGAAAGAUUGCAUUGCAUAUAUUUAUAGGAUACUAGGUCAUAUGUUAAGGUUUUUAAAAGAUUAAGCUUAUCAUCAUUGAAAAGUAAGAGGAAGUUUUAAUCCUAUCUUAUCUUGCAGU
rnacentral:lncRNA from 1 species